rnacentral:pre_miRNA from 1 species
GAUGGUUGAAGUAGAUUGGAUAGUUAUAAAUUAGGAACUAUCCAAUCUACUUCAACCUUU